AGGAGCCCCUAGGAGCGCCAAGGAGCCCCAAGGAGCAACAAGGAGCACCAAAGAGCUCCAGCCACCAGCAGCAGCAGCUAAAAGAGAGCCUUGGGAAACGGACAUCCUGUCUAAGUGGGAACAUCUGGGCCGGGCGCCAGGGUGGACCGGCCUGAGUGCAGCAGCGGAAGGGAUUUACUGCCAGCGAUCAGAAACUGGGAAUGGAGCAUGUAAGAGAACACGGCAUGUAAGAGAACACGGCAUGUAAGAGAACACGGCAAGGCCAGAGAAGCACCUGCUUCCCGCAAGCCCUCGACACCUGGGCUGACCACGAGCGCGGCUCUGCAGCUGUGUUGUUGUUACUUUGGGAAUGUUCUAGAAGUCCCAGACCCCAGGGGAAGAAAGGUCCAACUUGGGGUCCCCAGCCUGGGGAGCACCCACUGCCUGUCUGUUCCCUCCAAGGGCCUGGAGGAGCUGGGUCGGCACCCGGGGGCUCCCCACUCCGGGACGGCCGGGGCCUGCAGGUUCUGGCCCCCAAAGGCCCCCCAUGCCCUGCAGCUACCAGGCCAGGGUUCCUUGAGGUGGCACCUUCACCACCCCUGAGGUGCGGGAGCCCACGGGCAGGGGUAUGUUGGCCGGAAGGGCAAAGUCCCCCACCACGCUGGUCCCCCCUGGACUCAGGGAGGGAAGGGACUGCGGCUUCCCCAGGUGCCAAGUCCCGGAGCCUUCCUCAGUCCCAGGGUCACGCCAGCUGGGACGUUCCUGCUGAUCAGAGCGGGACACACAGGGUGGAAUCGGCGAGUGGCAGCUCAAAGGAGCAGGGAGGGUGGAGGCCAGUGAUGGGCGAGGAAAACCCAGACAGGCUACUGUGGGGCGCAGAGGGGCAGAGCCCCGGCCCCCACUGCGGCCACCUUCCCUCGGGCGGCAGGUGGGACCUGGCCACGCCUGGGCGCGGAGAUGCGCCUGACCAGGAGAAGCGUUGCUCCCCAGCUCUGCGAGACCCACGGGAAGAGUGACACCACGUCUGUGUCCCAGGAGCUCCCCGAGGAGGGGACAGGCACAGGCGCUUGGCUGGGUCCCCCAGGGGGGCUUUGCGGUCAGCUCUGAUGCUCAGCACUGUUAGCACUGGGGGCACAAAACCCUCACUGUGGGGAGCUGCCGUGUGCCUUGUGGG